GAUGAACGCUGGCGGCGUGCCUAAUACAUGCAAGUCGAGCGAACGGACGAGAAGCUUGCUUCUCUGAUGUUAGCGGCGGACGGGUGAGUAACACGUGGAUAACCUACCUAUAAGACUGGGAUAACUUCGGGAAACCGUAGCUAAUACCGGAUAAUAUUUUGAACCGCAUGGUUCAAAAGAGAAAGACGGUCUUGCUGUCACUUAUAGAUGGAUCCGCGCUGCAUUAGCUAGUUGGUAAGGUAACGGCUUACCAAGGCGACGAUGCAUAGCCGACCUGAGAGGGUGAUCGGCCACACUGGAACUGAGACACGGUCCAGACUCCUACGGGAGGCAGCAGUAGGGAAUCUUCGGCAAUGGGCGAAAGCCUGACGGAGCAACGCCGCGUGAGUGAUGAAGGUCUUCGGAUCGUAAAACUCUGUUAUUAGGGAAGAACAUAUGUGUAAUUAACUGUGCACAUCUUGACGGUACCUAAUCAGAAAGCCCCGGCUAACUACGUG
rnacentral:rRNA from 1 species